UACGAAGGGGGCUAGCGUUGCUCGGAAUCACUGGGCGUAAAGGGCGCGUAGGCGGUCAGCACAAGUCAGUUGUGAAAUCCCCGGGCUUAACUCGGAAAGGUCAACUGAUACUGUGCGACUAGAGUGCGGAAGGGGCAACUGGAAUUCUCGGUGUAGCGGUGAAAUGCGUAGAUAUCGAGAGGAACACCUGCGGCGAAGGCGGGUUGCUGGGCCGACACUGACGCUGAGUGAGCGAAAGCCAGGGGAGCAAACGGG
rnacentral:rRNA from 1 species